UACAGAGGGUGCGAGCGUUAAUCGGAAUUACUGGGCGUAAAGCGUGCGUAGACGGUUUCGUAAGUCGGGUGUGAAAUCCCCGGGCUCAACCUGGGAAUUGCAUUCGAAACUGCGAGGCUAGGGUACGGAAGAGGGAAGCGGAAUUUCUGGUGUAGCGGUGAAAUGCGUAGAUAUCAGAAGGAACAUCAGUGGCGAAAGCGGCUUCCUGGUCCAGUACCGACGUUCAGACACGAAAGCGUGGGGAGCAAACAGG
rnacentral:rRNA from 1 species